rnacentral:rRNA from 1 species
ACUCCUACGGGAGGCAGCAGUGGGAAUAUUGGACAAUGGGGAACCGUAGCAUCCAGCCAUGCCGCGUGUGUGAAGAAGGCCUUCGGGUUGUAAAGCACUUUCAGUGGGGAGGAAAGGUUGAUGGUUAAUACCUAUCAGCUGUGACGUUACCCACAGAAGAAGCACCGGCUAACUCCGUGCCAGCAGCCGCGGUAAUACGGAGGGUGCAAGCGUUAAUCGGAAUUACUGGGCGUAAAGCGUGCGCAGGCGGUCUGUUAAGCGAGAUGUGAAAGCCCGGCUGC